AUGGGCAUGACCAUGGGGAUAAUGAGCUUCAUAUGGUCACUGGUAGUCGCUCUGAUGACCGCCACAGUGAGCGCUGGUGACGAGGCCGCGCUGCUUGCUUUCAAAGCGCAGGUCAGUGAUGCCGGCUCGCUGGCCUCCUGGAACAGCAGCGCCGGCUUCUGCAGCUGGGAAGGGGUGAUGUGCAGCCGCUGGAGGCCCUCAAGGGUGGUGGAGCUGAGCUUGGAUGGCAGGGGGCUCGCCGGAGCACUCUCCCCAGCCCUCGGGAACCUCUCGUUCCUGCGGACGCUCAACCUGAGCUUCAACCGGCUCCACGGGGAGAUUCCAGCGAGCCUCGGCCGCCUCCGCCGUCUGCUGAAGCUUGACUUGAGCGACAACUCCUUCUCUGGAAAAAUCCCUGUAAACCUGAGCUCCUGCAUCAGCAUGACCAAGCUGAGACUGCGCAACAACCAACUUGGCGGGCGCAUCCCGGCUGAGCUCGGCGAGAAGCUCACAUCCCUGGCAGUGAUCUCGCUGAGAAACAACAGCUUCACAGGGCUCAUCCCGCCGUCACUUGGCAAUCUGUCCCAUCUACAAUACCUCGAUCUCACCACUAACCAGCUCGUGGGCUCAAUCCCAUCAAGCCUCGGAAGCAACCACAACAUGCAGCAAUUCGGCAUCUCUAGAAACAACAUCUCCGGUAUGCUUCCACCUUCCCUAUACAACUGGUCAUCGCUGGAAGUAUUUUCGGUAGCAUUGAAUAUGUUGUACGGAAGCAUUCCAGAUGAUAUCGGAAGCAAGUUCGCCAAGCUGGAACAUCUGGGCUUAGGUGGUAAUCACUUCACAGGAACCAUCCCUUCCUCAAUAUCCAACAUAUCUUCCCUCGUAUUCCUUAACCUCGUGCAGAAUGGAUUUAGUGGGUAUGUGCCUCCCACAUUGGGGAAGCUGGGAGCUCUCCAACAUCUAAACUUGGGUGCAAAUAACCUCGAAGCAAAUGACAACAAGGGGUGGGAAUUCAUCACUUCUUUAGCAAACUGCAGCCAACUGCAGCUAUUGGUACUCGCCAGCAAUUAUUUUGGCGGACAACUACCAGGUUCAAUUGUGAACCUCUCAACGACUCUUGAGGGGUUAUACUUGAUGCAUAAUAGGAUCUUUGGGAGUAUCCCUGUAGACAUUGGCAAUUUGGUUGGUCUGCAAAUACUUGUCAUAGCAAAUACUUCCAUAGACGGAGUGAUUCCAGAGAGCAUUGGCAAGCUAGGGAACUUGAUCGAGCUAGGCUUGUACAACAAUAGCCUCUCUGGCUUCAUACCACCAUCACUAGGAAACCUUUCACGUUUGAAUAGUUUUUUUGCAAGUAUUGGCAACUUAGAGGGGCCAAUUCCGACAAGCCUGGGGGAGUUGAAAAAUCUCUAUGCACUUGAUUUGUCAAUGAAUUACCAUCUAAACGGUUCAAUACCGAGAGAGAUUUUCAAAUUACACGAUCUUUCUUAUAUUUUGGACUUGUCUUACAAUUCCCUUUCUGGACCUCUUCCUAAUGAAGUUGGUAGUUUAUCAAAUCUCAACCAACUAGCUCUAUCAGGAAACCAGUUGUCCGGCAAGAUACCCGACAGUCUUCAGAAUUGCAUAGUAUUGGAACUGCUAUCAUUAGACAACAAUUCAUUUGAAGGAAGCAUACCUCAAUCACUGAAAAAUAUAAAGGGGCUCAGGGGAUUGAACCUGACCAUGAAUAAAUUAUCUGGUAAUAUUCCUGAUGCCCUUGGUAGCAUCGGAAAUCUGCAAGAGCUGUACCUAGCACACAACAACUUGUCAGGGUCAAUCCCAGAAAUUCUACGGAAUUUGAAAUCAUUGUUGAAACUGGAUGUAUCCUUCAACAAUUUGCAAGGUGAGGUACCAAAUGAAGGUGUUUUCAGAAACAUCACUUACUUAGAAGUUGCUGGGAAUAUCAAAUUGUGUGGUGGUACACCUCAACUUCAUUUGGCUCCAUGCUCCACCAGAAAGAACAAAAAAAAGAUGCCAAAGAAUCUUGUAAUUUAUGUAGUGGCAGCUGGAGCAAUCUUGUUCUCACUUUCGAUUGUUCUUCUUGUUUGGAUACUUUGCAAGAAGCUCAAACCAAGCAAAAAAACAUUAGCACAAAAUUCAGCUGAUGACCAUUACAAGAGAAUACCCUAUCAUGCAUUGUUGAGAGGAACUAACGAGUUUGCGGAAGCCAACUUGCUUGGCAGAGGAAGUUAUGGUGCGGUCUAUAAGUGUGUUUUGGACUUUGAAAAAAGAACAUUGGCGGUCAAGGUGUUCAAUCUUGGUGAAUCCAGGUAUUCCAAGAGUUUUGAGGCUGAGUGUGAGUCCAUGAGAAGAAUACGACACAGGUGCCUCAUUAAGAUCAUUACUUCUUGUUCGAGCCUCAACCACCAAGGUCAAGAGUUUAAGGCAUUGGUUUUUGAGUUUAUGCCCAAUGGUAACUUGGAUGGCUGGCUUCAUCCAAAACCUCAAGAGCCCAGUACAGACAACACUCUCAGCCUUGCCCAGAGGCUUGAUAUUGCUGUCAAUAUUGUAGACGCGGUAGAAUAUCUGCACAACUACUGUCAACCACUGGUGAUCCAUUGUGAUCUUAAGCCAAGCAACAUUCUUCUUGCUGAAGACAUGAGCGCACGAGUUGGAGACUUUGGCAUAUCAAGGAUCCUUAAAGAAAAUACAAGUGAGGGGAUGCAAACUUCAUACAGCUCAACUGGAAUCAGAGGUUCCAUAGGCUAUGUUGCACCAGAGUAUGGAGAAGGCUCUGCAGUCUCAACCGCUGGUGAUAUUUAUAGUCUUGGCAUAUUGCUGCUUGAGAUGUUUACGGGAAGGAGCCCAACAGAAGGCAUGUUCAGAGAUUCAUUGGAUCUGCAUAAGUUUGCUGAGGACGCUCUUCCAGAUAGAACCUUGGAGAUAGCUGACCCCACAAUGUGGUUGCACAGCGGACAACAGAAUAACAAUACAAGUAUUAGAAUCCAGGAGUUAUUGGUUUCGGUCUUGAGGCUUGGCAUAUCCUGCUCAAAGCAACAUCCUCGACACCGAGCACGGACGAAAGAUGCAACAGGGGAGAUGCACGCAAUCAGAGAUGCGUACCUCAAGUUCAUAGGGGAGCAUGAAGCAGAACGAGAAGCCUCGACUCGGGAAAUCAAGAAAGGUGUUGCAUAA
rnacentral:rRNA from 1 species